rnacentral:rRNA from 1 species
AGAGUUUGAUCCUGGCUCAGGACGAACGCUGGCGGCGUGCUUAACACAUGCAAGUCGAGCGGUAAGGCCCUUCGGGGUACACGAGCGGCGAACGGGUGAGUAACACGUGAGCAAUCUGCCCUUCACUUUGGGAUAACCACCGGAAACGGUGGCUAAUACCGGAUACGACCAUUCCAGGCAUCUGGUGGUGGUGGAAAGUUCUGGCGGUGGAGGAUGAGCUCGCGGCCUAUCAGCUUGUUGGUGGGGUAAUGGCCUACCAAGGCGACGACGGGUAGCCGGCCUGAGAGGGUGGCCGGCCACACUGGGACUGAGACACGGCCCAGACUCCUACGGGAGGCAGCAGUGGGGAAUAUUGGACAAUGGGCGAAAGCCUGAUCCAGCAACGCCGCGUGAGGGAUGACGGCCUUCGGGUUGUAAACCUCUUUCAGUAGGGACGAAGCUAACGUGACGGUACCUACAGAAGAAGCACCGGCCAACUACGUGCCAGCAUCCGCGGUAAUACGUAGGGUGCGAGCGUUGUCCGGAAUUAUUGGGCGUAAAGGGCUCGUAGGCGGUUUGUCACGUCGGGAGUGAAAACUCGGGGCUUAACCCCGAGCCUGCUUCCGAUACGGGCUGACUAGAGGUAUGCAGGGGAGAACGGAAUUCCUGGUGUAGCGGUGAAAUGCGCAGAUAUCAGGAGGAACACCGGUGGCGAAGGCGGUUCUCUGGGCAUUACCUGACGCUGAGGAGCGAAAGUGUGGGGAGCGAACAGGAUUAGAUACCCUGGUAGUCCACACCGUAAACGUUGGGCGCUAGGUGUGGGACUCAUUCCACGAGUUCCGUGCCGCAGCUAACGCAUUAAGCGCCCCGCCUGGGGAGUACGGCCGCAAGGCUAAAACUCAAA